GAUUGAAACAUAUUCCUCUAGCUUUGGUCUUUUUUUAAAAGAAUUGGUUAUAAACAUUGAAUAUUAUAAAAGUGUUUUUCUGAUACUUGUUGAAGUGAUAAACCUUAGGAAUGUACUUUACAUAACAACAUACUACCUGAUAACAACUUAUGAAAUGAAUGCUGUGUGAACAUUACUUUCCUAGAUUAAAUAAUUCUUAUCUAGGCAAACAAUUUAAAGCAAGUUUAGAAAUUGCUCAUGCAAUUUUUUAAGGGCCCAAGCUGAUAGUAUCACAAACAAGAAAUUCAAACAUCUAGUAAGUAGUUACACAGUGUUGAAAUAUUUUAGCAAUGCAAAUGCAGUGUUCUUCAAUUUCACCUCAAAGGCAGACGUGCAUCUUUCAGAGGAUAGGGUCUUAAAACAACUUCCAAACACAGAGGGAUGAGGAGUCACGAGCCAUUACUAUCUCAGGUUCCUCAGUGGGUAGAGGAGCUAAUUUUCAUGUAGUUCCUGGGAGGCCCGUCUUCGUGUUGGAGGAAGCUCAGAUCCCAAAGAACAAGGUUUGGCUGGGAUUAACACUGUCACCUGCUCUUAAUGCUUUCAUGCCGUCAAGACGGGCCACGGCAACAGUGGGGUUCUUGGAAGAAACACAGAAACAGCCAUGCACUGAGGCUCCAUGGGGGAGGGGCAUAAAAUGCAAUCCAAGAAGACAUGUUAUGGAGGUACAGAGAUUAGAACUCUCCUCAUAUAGUUUCAUUCAUGGACUCUGUUCAGACAGCAGCUGAAUCAUAUUCCAUAAUGCAUGGGUAACCAUUUUCUGCGGAAUGAUGUUCAGUUUGUUUCCACUGAUUGACUACCAGGAAUGGGGAAGCAGCGAGCAUGACCGAGUAGCCGUCUGUGCACAGAGAGGUUGAGUUCACUGAGAACAUACCAGGAAAUGGUAUAGGUUUUUAACUUCACUAUUGCUCAAGAAUUUGAUGAAUGGAUGAUUUUUGGUAUAGAUUCCUCCACAUCUCCUCUUCCCAAGAUUCCACUGGGUCCUUGCAAACAACAGAGCAACUCACUGAGACACCAGUGUCCUGGAGAGACCAGAAUCGAAGAAGCUUAUGAAUGAUUUGACACGGACGCCGUGUGUCUUUCCGUGCCGUGCUCAGGACGGAUUAAUGCCUUCCCCGCUCAGCCAUCGUCAGAGAAGCUUCCUCCUGCAGUAGAUGUGAACGAAAACAGAGACCCACGGCAGGACAUCAUGCAGAGUGUGUGACCUUGGAACACUCAGACCUAAACAGAUGCCUUCACCGUAUCCCUCCCUUUCUAAGCUCAGGGAACCCUGCUGAAGGGAAGACAAAAAAGGACCACUUCGAUGAAUGUAAUAUAACAGAUUGGGAAUGGCCCAAAUCUAAGAACUACUCUUCAUAUAUUCCAAGAAACAACAGAUUAUAUUCUUUAAAGAACCACACGUCAUGGAAGGAAUACAUGCUUGGAACCCUCCAGUGUUCAUUUCGGUUUUGAACAGUGCGAGUCAGUAGCUCUAAGAAAACAGAAGAUCGUGCGUAUUUAUUCUCUUCCAUUACUCACAUAGCAAAUUCACUGUCAGCAACAUGUAGAACUUUCAAAAGACGAAGGACAGUCUUGUCCAUCUGCCAGUGGCCUUCUUAUGUCCCCCUGUGGCUAGUAAACCAUCAUUUCACAGCAGGAACAUUUCAAAAAGGUAAUUUUCUUUAUAGCUGCCUGGUGAAAGUGCUUACAUCUACUAUCAAUUUCAAUUAUACCUGGUAAUUCUAUGCAGAAACUUAGUACCCCACGGAGAGGAGAGGAAACGAAUGACCAUUUAUUGGGUGAUAAAAUAAUGCAUCUAAACAAGAAAAUUUUUGUGUAAAGGAUUGAUCUUGGGAUUCAGACAGUACUUUUAAAUUUUAAUGUUAUGUUAGGUACUGUGAAAGCAUAUACAUGGUCUUUACUACUACAUCAUGUGAGUAAUGCAAUUUUUAUUUUUCAU
rnacentral:sRNA from 1 species